rnacentral:rRNA from 1 species
AUGCACGCUGGCGGCGUGCCUAAUACAUGCAAGUCGAGCGAACAGACGAGGAGCUUGCUCCUCUGACGUUAGCGGCGGACGGGUGAGUAACACGUGGAUAACCUACCUAUAAGACUGGGAUAACUUCGGGAAACCGGAGCUAAUACCGGAUAAUAUAUUGAACCGCAUGGUUCAUUAGUGAAAGACGGUUUUGCUGUCACUUAUAGAUGGAUCCGCGCCGCAUUAGCUAGUUGGUAAGGUAACGGCUUACCAAGGCGACGAUGCGUAGCCGACCUGAGAGGGUGAUCGGCCACACUGGAACUGAGACACGGUCCAGACUCCUACGGGAGGCAGCAGUAGGGAAUCUUCCGCAAUGGGCGAAAGCCUGACGGAGCAACGCCGCGUGAGUGAUGAAGGUCUUCGGAUCGUAAAACUCUGUUAUUAGGGAAGAACAAAUGUGUAAGUAACUAUGCACGUCUUGACGGUACCUAAUCAGAAAGCCACGGCUAACUACGUG